rnacentral:rRNA from 1 species
CCCUUAGAUGUUCUGGGCCGCACGCGUGCUACACUGAGUGGAUCAGCGGGUCAGGUUGCGCGAAAGUGUCUCCUAAUCUUGAAAUCCGCUCGUGAUGGGGAUUGACGGUUGCAAUUUUCUGUCAUGAACGAGGAAUACCUUGUAAGCGCGGGUCAUCAUCCCGCGCUGAAUACGUCCCUGCCCUUUGUACACACCGCCCGUCGCUCCUACCGAUUGAGUGGUCCGGUGAGGCUUUGGGAUCUGGAUGGAAAGAGCGUUUCGCUGUUUCUGCCCGGAAAACUCAGUCGAACCUUAUCAUUUAGAGGAAGGAGAAGUCGUAACA